rnacentral:misc_RNA from 1 species
AAACACUUCUUUUUCUUUUAAAAAAAGGGUUUAAAUCUCUGGUUCUUUAUGGUAUAGAAAGAGGUGAGAUUAGGUGCCCUUUUCUUCAUUUUGCAUUUCUUAUUAAUUUUGUAUACCGCUAUUCCGAAGAAUAUAUUUUUUUUAUUCUUGCUUAUCCUACUUUCCCAGUUGUUCUAAGUAAUAUGCGCGGUACAAAGUUCGUGGUAGGAACUUCUUUGAGUCAUUGUAUUUUUCUGUUCAUACGAAGGAAACAAAUAUGUGAUUUUCCAAAUUGGAAAAUAGAAAUGAAGCCCUUUUUGUUCAGUCUAUCUGGACCUUUUUGUAUAAUAGGAAUUAAUUAGAAUAUUAUAUUCUAAGUAUUUCGUUUCGUCUAGGAACAGAACGUCAAAAUAUUCCUUGACUUGAAUAAAAUCUGGAAUUGUGUUGUAUAAGUGAACAUGAAUU